GUUAAAUUACAACCCAGGUGCGAUGCGACACUCGGGCGUGUCACAUGCCCCUUUUGGUAAAAUGGAUUUGGGGCAGAACCUCUCUUUCUCUCUCCAUGCUGUGUCUUCACAGGAACGGACAAGCUGAUGAUCCUAAAACUCAGAUGGAAAUGCAAAGGACUCCAAACAGCCAAAAUAAUCUUGAAAAAGGACAAAGUUGGAACUUUGUCAGUUCCUGCAAAUAGAAAAGAUUUCAUGGAAAUGUCAUCAUACAAUAUGUGACCUAUCAUGUCUGGCUUCUUUCACUUGGCAUAGUGUUUUCAGGGUUCAUCCAUGUUGUAGCAUAUAGCAUUAUUUCGUUCCUUUUUAUGGCCCCAAACAUUCCAUUGUAUUGGUAUACCAACCACAUGUUGUUGAUACGUUUGUCUGUUGAUGGACUUUUGCAUUGUUUCUAUUCUUUGGCUAUUAUAAAUAAUGCUGCCAUAAAACAUUCAUGUACAA